rnacentral:misc_RNA from 1 species
AGACGUCAAUUACUUUUUUUCGAUUUUCGAUUCAAUUUUCGAUCAGGACUCAAUCUCAAAAGCUUACAGCUUGCCUUAUGGAUGACUCUACUGGUUAAAGAUUUUCGAUUGCGACUCAAUUUCAAGACCUCACAGCUUUGUAAAUGACUCCAAUGGUUAAAGUUCAUUAGUUGGAUACAGUUUAAUGCAGUACUUUCUUUGUUUGAAUUAUUUUGUUAUAGUUAAGUUGAGUUGGCUUACGGCCUUGGUCAAAAGUAGGCUGGAAAUUUACAUUUGGCAUUUGCCGAGAAAUAGACUUGUG